UAACCCAGGGAAACUUGNAUUAAUNCCGUAUGANCCCUUCGGGGGAAAGAUUUAUCGNCAUUGGAUCAACCCGCGUCGGAUUAGCUAGUUGGUGAGGUAAAGGCUCACCAAGGCGACGAUCCGUAGCUGGUCUGAGAGGAUGAUCAGCCACACUGGGACUGAGACACGGCCCAGACUCCUACGGGAGGCAGCAGUGGGGAAUAUUGGACAAUGGGCGCAAGCCUGAUCCAGCCAUGCCGCGUGAGUGAUGAAGGCCUUAGGGUUGUAAAGCUCUUUCGCCGGUGAAGAUAAUGACGGUAACCGGAGAAGAAGCCCCGGCUAACUUCGUGCCAGCAGCCGCGGUAAUACGAAGGGGGCUAGCGUUGCUCGGAAUCACUGGGCGUAAAGCGCACGUAGGCGGGUCGUUAAGUCAGAGGUGAAAGCCUGGAGCUCAACUCCAGAACUGCCUUUGAUACUGGCGACCUCGAGUUCGAGAGAGGUUGGUGGAACUCCGAGUGUAGAGGUGAAA
rnacentral:rRNA from 1 species